GAGUUUGAUUAUGGCUCAGGAUGAACGCUGGCGGCGUGCCUAACACAUGCAAGUCGAGCGCGGUUGUGCUUAGUAUUGAGUGUUUUAUUGAUAUAAAACAUUGAAUUCUAUGCACAACUGAGCGGCGGACGGGUGAGUAACGCGUGGGUAACCUGCCCUAUACACAUGGAUAACAUACUGAAAAGUUUACUAAUACAUGAUAAAAUAGUUUUUCGGCAUCGAAGAAUUAUCAAAGUGUUAGCGGUAUAGGAUGGACCCGCGUCUGAUUAGCUAGUUGGUGAGAUAACUGCCCACCAAGGCGACGAUCAGUAGCCGACCUGAGAGGGUGAUCGGCCACAUUGGAACUGAGACACGGUCCAAACUCCUACGGGAGGCAGCAGUGGGGAAUAUUGCACAAUGGGCGCAAGCCUGAUGCAGCAACGCCGCGUGAACGAUGAAGGUCUUCGGAUCGUAAAGUUCUGUUGCAGGGGAAGAUAAUGA
rnacentral:rRNA from 1 species